rnacentral:rRNA from 1 species
UACGUAGGUGGCAAGCGAUGUCCGGAUUUAUUGGGUUUACAGGGUGCGUAGGCGGUCUUUUAAGUCAGUGCUGAAAUAUCCCGGCUUAACCGGGAGGGUGGCAUUGAUACUGAAGGACUUGAGUACAGUCGAGGUAGGCGGAAUUGACGGUGUAGCGGUGAAAUGCUUAGAUAUCGUCAAGAACACCGAUAGUGUAGACAGCUUACUAGGCUGAAACUGACGCUGAGGCACGAAAGCGUGGGGAUCAAACAGG